AAUAUUACCUGGCAGGGGAGAGUCAGUCAUCUGAUCUGCUGGUCUCCCAGGACAAGGGUCUCCCAUUGCACUGCGGAUGUGCUGAUGCCUGCGAUGUCCCCAAAUGUGGGAUAGUCGACUGCAGAAUUUGUGGCGGUGGGGACUACGUUCGAGGGCACGCACG